rnacentral:rRNA from 1 species
GUCCUAGCCCUAAACGAUGCUCAUUAGGUGUGGGAGGUAUCGACCCCUUCCGCGCCGAAGCUAACGCAUUAAAUGAGCCACCUGGGGAGUACGGCCGCAAGGUUGAAACUCAAAGGAAUUGACGGGGGCCCGCACAAGCGGUGGAGCAUGUGGUUUAAUUCGACGCAACGCGAAAACCUUACCUGGGCUUGAACUACGGAUGGUAAGCCGAUGGAAACAUUGGCUGACUCGCAAGAGAGUCCGCAGAGGUGCUGCAUGGUUGUCGU